GUUCCUCUUUGGUUCAGUCUUUCUUUGUGUCUCGUUUCGCUUUCCUCAAAAUGCUGUUGCUCUGGGUUCUUCCUGCCUGUUCAGUGUGUCUCGCUGUGAAAGGUGAAUCUCAAGGUUUUCUGGACCGGCCUGUGAAACCGUCACUGCGUGCGAGUGACUCUGCUGUUCAGAUAGACGCCUCUCUGCUGGUUACCUGCACACUGCCUGCAGCGAGCACAGGAGAGCAGUGUCGUCUGUACAGAAGGGGCAGUCGUGGUUCUAUCCAGUCAUUUCAAUCCGCACACAGUAAUGGGACAGUGUGUGCUGUCUCUGUGAGUGGGAGAGAGCUGCUGCUGGGAGGAGGAGGGGGUGCUGGGGGCAGCACUGAGGUCCAGUUGAGCUGUGAUUACACUGAGGGGAACCAUUCUUCAUAUCCCAGUGACACUGUGACAAUG